UCAAGGGAUUUGUACAGCCCUGUAGGAGACACCUCCAGAGAAAGUAACAGCUCUCAAUUGAUUAGCUGAGGAGACCGAUUUUGUAAAUCACUACUUUUCUAACAACACUGGCACAGAUGGCCAAGCAUUCUCCCUUUUCUCAGAGCUGGUUUUCCAUCCCGGAAAGAGGUCUUACAUAUACAAAGUUACUCUAAUCAGUUGUGAGCUGAUACCAUCAGCAUUCUUACUGAAGAACUCCUUAGUGAAAUAGGGAAGUUCAUAAAAUGCUUGUGAGAAGAUGGAAUAAAUAGGAAUUUCUGUAUUCCUCCUGAUAAGUACAACUAAAAACCCUGGACAUUAUUUAUAAAACAAACUGAAGAAGACUCUGAAAGAUAGAGAGGAGAAAGCAGACCACCUAGGGACCUCAGGACUCAAGGAACAAAAUGAAGAAUAAACAGAUGCUUUUACAGCUCGCCUUGGCGGGAAGAUCUGGCACAAAUGAAGU
rnacentral:lncRNA from 10 species